CGGGUGAGUAACACGUGAGUGACCUGCCUUUUAGACUGGAACAACUUACCGAAAGGUGAGCUAAUGCCGGAUGAGUUAUAUAAGUGCAUGUUUAUAUAGGAAAAGUUGGGGAGACCUGACGCUGAAAGAUGGACUCGCGUCCCAUUAGCUAGUUGGUAGGGUAAUGGCCUACCAAGGCGACGAUGGGUAGCCGGCCUGAGAGGGUGAACGGCCACAUUGGGACUGAGACACGGCCCAAACUCCUACGGAAGGCAGCAG
rnacentral:rRNA from 1 species